GCGCCGGGGGUCUGGCACGCAAGCCCUCGCGGGCCGUGACUCGAAGAAGCCCGGCACAGACAGAGUCGCGGGAGGAGCAGUUAGGCGGCACCCCAGGAGCGCCCCUGAGGUGGGAGGUGGCAAAACUGAAGGAACUGCGAGCUAGUAAUCCGGAGGAUUGAACGUAAAGCUGGGGGUUUCCGUAAAGCUGCUCUGAGCAGGCACCGUCUCGAGAACAGCCUUUAUUCUUGAGACGGGUGUAAAACUUGUCAGCGGUUCUAUUACAGAGUAAAAAAUAAUACUUGGAAGGAUAAAGAUAAAAAUUGCAGAAAUCGUUUGAAAAGAAAUAGUUCAUUGUGCGGGCUCGUCCUCCACACCGAGUCCAUCUAUGCAUCACCUCUGAAAGUAAUAACAAUGUAACGUUGAUGAUGAUAACGAUGUAUUCUUCUUUCAAAUAUGUGGGUAAUAUUUUCAUGAAGCAUUGCCAACAAAGUGACUUAGGGAAGAGGUACUAUAUAUUAACUCUACAAUCAGACUGGGUUCCAUUCUACUCCCAAGAAUUCUGUCAUAAUGGAGCUGAUGAUGGCUGUGUCCAGCAGUUUGACAGUAACGUGAUUGUUCUACACGGCAACAAAAGAACCUGCGUCAACCAAUGGUCACACAUAUCAGAAAAAAAGAAGCUUCUGUCACAGCAGAGGCUAAGAGCUCCCAAAUUAGAACUGUAUUUUCCAGCCGGAAGUUAGUCAUUUAAUCAAUGGUUACUGCAAUCUACCUAUCAACUUCAACACAAUCCCUGUAUUUGAAAAACUUAGUUUCCUGUUGAUACAGAAUGUAUACUAAUAACCAAUAUACAGUAGGCCAAAUACUGUAAUAAAAUAUCUGUAAGAUGCUGUGGAAUGCA
rnacentral:lncRNA from 1 species